rnacentral:rRNA from 1 species
UACAGAGGGGGCAAGCGUUAUUCGGAAUUAUUGGGCGUAAAGGGCGCGUAGGCGGCUUGGCAAGUGGAUGGUGAAAUCCCUCGGCUUAACCGAGGAACUGCCGUCCAAACUGCUUCGCUUGAGACCGGGAGAGGUGAGUGGAAUUCCCAGUGUAGCGGUGAAAUGCGUAGAUAUCAGGAGGAACACCGGUGGUGUAGACGGCUCUCUGGACCGUAACUGACGCUGAGACACGAAAGCGUGGGUAGCAAACAGG